AACGAGUCUGUAGAAGAAAGUAAACUUUUCUCCCCAUUCAGAGUGGGCUUUGAGUCUUCCUGCACCAAACACGGCCCGCUAAGAGCCGCCCUGGAAAUGAUCCCUCGCAACCGCCCCGUCCUGCCCUCCCGGCGCUGACCAUCGGUCGGCGCUGGCAUCCCGGAGGUCACUCUCUGCUCCCCAACUAGGUCCCGAGGCGUGCAACUCCGGAAAGCAGCCCGCACCGGACCCCGGGCGGCUCGGCGGAGAGGCAGAGCCUCGUGGUCCCGGCUGACCAACCGGCUCCCCGGCCGCAGCCCGGCGCUGGCGGGUCGCCGCCCCGGCGCGCAGGCCCCGGCCCCGCGCGGCCGCUCGGAAAACGCGGCGGGCGGAACCCGCACGCGGAAGCGCCGGCCGCACUGAGCAUGCCCAGUUGCAGGGCCGACCAGAGGAGUUUUCUUUCUUUUUCUUUUCUUUCUUUCUUCUUUUCCUUUUUUUAAAAUUGUUAAGUAGGAGGCCGUCCCCGCACCCCCACCGCAGCCUCCCCAGCUCCCCAGGCCUAAGCAGCUGCCAUGGCCGAGGUCCCCGGCGCGGCGCUGUCCCAGGCGGGUUGGUAUCUUUCAGAUGAAGGCAUUGAAGCUUGCACAAGUUCUCCUGAUAAAGUCAAUCUAAAUGACAUCAUCUUGAUUGCUCUCAAUACAGACUUGAGAACAAUUGGCAAGAAAUUCCUCCCUAGUGACAUCAACGGUGGAAAGGUAGAAAAGCUUGAAGGUCCAUGUGUUUUGCAAAUUCAGAAAAUUCGCAAUGUUGCUGCGCCAAAGGAUAAUGAAGAGUCUCAGGCUGCUCCGAGAAUGUUGCGACUGCAGAUGACUGAUGGUCAUACAAGUUGCACAGCAGUAGAAUACAGUUAUAUGUCAAAAAUAAGCCUGAACACACCACCUGGAACUAAAGUUAAGCUCUCAGGCAUCGUGGAUAUAAAAAAUGGAUUCCUGCUCCUGAAUGACUCCAACACCACAGUCCUUGGGGGAGAAGUGGAACACCUUAUUGAGAAGUGGGAGCUACAGAGAAGCUUGUCAAAACACAAUAGAAGCAAUAUUGGAACUGAAGGUGGACCACCUCCUUUUGUGCCUUUUGGACAGAAGUGUGUGUCUAAUGUCCAAAUGGAUAGCAGAGAACUUGAUCAAAGGAAGACACUGCAAGUUACAAUGCCUGUCAAAUCCACAAAUGAUAAUGAUGAAUUUGAAAAGCAAAGGACUGCUGCUAUUGCAGAGGUUGCAAAGAGCAAAGAAACCAAGACAUUUGGAGGAGGUGGUGGUAGUGCAAGAAGUAAUCUCAAUAUGAGUGCUGCUGGUAACCGAAAUAGGGAAAUUUUACAGAAAGAAAAGCCAACCAAAUCAGAGGGGAAACAUGAAGCUGUCUAUAGAGAACUGGUUGAUGAGAAGGCUCUGAAGCACAUAACAGAAAUGGGCUUCAGUAAGGAAGCAUCAAGGCAAGCUCUUAUGGAUAAUGGCAACAACUUAGAAGCAGCAUUGAAUGUACUCCUUAACAGCAAUAAACAAAAACCUGUUUCAGGUCCACCUCUGAGAGGUAAAGGAAAAGGCAGGGGGCGAAUAAGAACUGAAGAUGAAGAAGAAAUGGGAAAUGCAAGGCCAUCAGCACCAAGCACAUUAUUUGAUUUCUUGGAGUCUAAAAUGGGGACUUUGAGUAUGGAAGAGCCUAAAUCACAACCGCAGCAGCUACAUCAGGGGCAACACAGAUUGUUGAAUACUGAGCAAAAUGGAAUAAAAGACAGUAAUCAAACAAGAUAUCUUCCUCGGAAUGAUACCAGACAGCCAAGAAAUGAAAAACCGCCUCGUUUUCAAAGAGACACCCAAAAUUCGAAGUCAGUUUUAGAAGGCAGUGGAUUGCCUAGAAAUAGAGGUACUGAAAGACCAAGUACUUCUUCGGGAUCUGAAGGAUGGGCUGACGAGAGAAUGAGAUAUGAUAGACCCUAUUCUAGAUAUGAUAGGACUAAAGACACCUCAUACUCUUUAGGUUCUCAGCACAAUGAUGGUGCUUUUAAAAAAAGGGAAAACUCUAUGCAAAGCAGAUCAGGAAGAAGUCCAGCCUACGCAGAGGCAAAAGAAAAUCCACUUCCUCAAGAAUCCAUAGACUAUAAUAAUCAAAAACGUGGGAAAAGAGAAAACCAAACAGCAAGUCCUGAUAAUUUUUAUGACAGGAAACCACGAACAAUAAAUAAUGAAGCUUUCAGUGGUGUAAAAAUUGAAAAACAUUUUCCUGUAAAUACCAAUUACCAGAAUUCUGUCACAACUAAUAGUUUCAUUGGUGUUCCAAAUGGAGAGACAGAAAUGCCACUGAAGGGAAGGCGAGUAGGACCUAUUAAGCCAACAGGACCCAGCACAGCCACACCCUAUGAUGAUAAACUAUUUUACAAUAGUGGUCCCAAAAGAAGAUGUGGGCCAAUUAAACCAGAAAAAGUACUAGAACCAUCUAUUCCUGUGGAGUAUGCAAAAGUGUGGAAACCUGGAGAUGAAUGUUUUGCACUUUAUUGGGAAGACAAUAAGUUUUACCGAGCAGAAGUUGAAGCUCUCCAUUCUUCAGGUAUGACAGCAGUUGUUAAAUUCACUGAUUAUGGAAACUAUGAAGAGGUGCUACUAAGCAACAUCCGGCCCAUUCAAACAGAGGCAUGGCUCCAGCGGAGCUGGACAUGCACAGGAGGAAUCAGAAGAACCGGGUCGAGUCCUGGCUCUGCCACUUACUACCUGUUUGACUUUGGAAAGGAGAUGGCAAUAGAUCAGAGUUAAAAGUUUUUCAGCAGUCUCACUGAAAACCUAGAUUCUUAGCUAGAGGAAUAGUCAUGGAGAGAAAAGACUAAAGAUUUGGUGGCCAUUUCUUUUAUAUAGAGGCUGAGUAGAGCUAAGAAAGAAAGAACACUUACCUACUGGAUCACAUCUGGUGUUAUAAUAGAUCAAGGGAACUUUAUGAGGGCAUAAGAAGAGUUUAUAGCUCUACUUGGUCCAACUUCUCCUUCUCCCCACUCCCUCCCAUAAUAUAAGAAUGCUUCAUCUGGCUAUGUCUAAGUAAUAGUAAUAAUAGUCACUUACAUGAACUGCUUGCUAUUAAUGCCUAAUUACCAUGGAGCACAAUAACCAUUACUCAUGUCAUGAUUGAAUUAACUUUCUUAAAGCUUCUCUUUUUUAUUUUAUUUUUACAGCCUUGAACCAUUGACUUAUGCUCAGUAUGGUUUCUUGCUGAAGUAGCAGUGUCAUCUUUCUUAACUAAAAAUUAGAGAGAAGUAUUGAACUCUGGUAAUAAUCAAAUGCAAAUUGAAACAAUUAAGUGCAGUGUUAAGUUUGUGCAUUAAUGGAGGGAAAUUAAAUGGUAAUGCUUAUGCUGUCCAAGAUGCAGUGGUAUGAGUACUCUUACACAUUGCUAAUGGCAGUGUAAAUUGAUGUGAUGCUUCCAGUUUUUUCCCAAGCCUUAAGUGUUCAUACCCUUUAAACCAAUAAUCCUAUAGUUGUUCAUCUCUCCUAAGGAAAAAGCAAAGAAAAUAAGUGAAUUGCUGAGAAAUGAUUACUGCAGCAUUAUUAUAAUAAUAAAAAGCUAGGAACUACCUCAAUAUCCACCAAUAAGAGAAUGGUAAAAUAAAUUAUCAUCCAUCUGUGGGUGAAAUGUUAUACAGCUGUGAUAAAAAUCAUUAUGAAAGAUGUAAUAUGGGAAAUAUUUAUAAGUGAAUUAAAGCAGUUAAUAGAUUUGAACAAAAUUAUACUCAGAGUAGUGGUUGUCUUGGAAUAGUAGAGUUAUGUAUAAUCUCUAUGUAUGGUAUAUAUACACAUAUGUUUUUUCAAUUUCCUAAACUUUCUGUAAUUGCAUUAUAUAUUUCAUUUG